UACCAGCUCUCCGAGUGGUAACCGCUUUUAUUGGGCCUAAAGCGUCCGUAGCCGGUUUGGUAAAUAUCUGGGUAAAUCGUGAGGCUUAACUUCACGAAUUUCGGAUAGACUGCCAGACUUGGGAUCGGGGGAGGUCAGAGGUACUCCAGGGGUAGCGGUGAAAUGUUGUAAUCCUUGGAGGACCACCGGUAGCGAAGGCGUCUGACUAGAACGAGUCCGACGGUGAGGGACGAAGCCCUGGGGCGCAAACCGGAUUAGAUACCCGGGUAGUCCAGGGUGUAAACAAUGUGGGCUUUGUAUUGGAGGUCCCACGUGGGCGUCCAGUGCAGAAGAGAAGUUGUUAAGCCCACCGCCUGGGAAGUACGGUCGCAAGGCUGAAACUUAAAGGAAUUGGCGGGGGAGCACAGCAACGGGAGGAGCGUGCGGUUU
rnacentral:rRNA from 1 species